AAAACAUUUUCCACAUUCUUCUUUGAAACUGGAAAAGGAUGUUAAAAUUUUAAAUUUAUAAUUAUUAUCAUUUGCAAAAUAUGUUUUUGUUACAGUCCAGUUGUGACAUAAUAGUAUUUGACACAUUUUGAAAUUUUUGAAGAAAGUUGAAAUGCUGAUAAUUUGAGCUUUGACCAGUUUCAAUGAAGAGGUUUUAGAAUAUAAGUAGAUACAAGAAAUGCCCAUCAUAUUGUUAAAUAUAGGAAUUGCUAUGCUAGGAAUGUUAAAGUUUUAAAGACAGGCUAGGUAAACCAUUGGACCAGUUGGUAAUGGCAGAUAGCUGCAGACAAAGGAUUGGAGGAAUCCAGCUGGUCGGGCAUGAGGAGAAGAAAUAAGGGGAGACUACUCCAGCACAGCCUAGAUGUACAUGACAUCAACACAAGUGACUGAUGACCUGUACAAAAUUGAUAUGAUGCCUGGGCUCAAAUAUUUCCUUCCUCAAAAAGAAAACAAAGAAAGAAGAUGGUCACCAUAGCAACAUGACAACAACCAGUAUUACUGUAUAGACAAAAUAAGAUUGCCGUCGGGUAUUGAGUGCACACCUGUCACAGAUUGCCAUCAGAUAUUUAUAAGGACACACCUGUAACUUACCUCCCAGGUAUCUAUAUUAAUUGUGUUAAUA